GUCCUUUGAGGAGGAGAAACCUUUCAGAGGGGUAUCUGCAGGUUUUCUCUUCUACCGCUGUCUCUCACCUGGAAGCGUUAAGCUACGUGAAGUAUCAAGGAGGCAAAAGGUCCUGGUGGCACCUACACAGUAAUUUGGUAGGCAACGGCAACUGGAAAAAGCUGGUGGAAGGCAUGUAGAGUCACUUGUUACCUCUCCAAGCCUUACUCUUUCCCCUCUUCUCCCCUACCCAGAAUAUAUCCUGUGUAACUAUUAUGGAAGGCAAAAGCUUCCCCGUUUUGCACUCCUCCUUUUCCCUCCUGUGACUGGUACCACAGUCUGAGCCACAGAGAAGAAAGGAGGGAAGGAAAAGAUGGUCGUAGUGCCCCGGUGAGGAUGAAGGCUGGUUAGGGCUCAGCAACGGAGCACGGGGGCAGUAGUUAUCUAGGACAGUUUAAAAAUCACGGUGAACUCGGACACAAACCAGCUUCUCUGUAUAUGCAGCCCACCCUAAGGUAUGUGGCAAUCACACUGCACAAGCACAUUGAGAUUAGCUUUCUGGACAGCUUUAAUAGCUGAUGGGC